GGCAGACACUCACUCACAAGUGGCCACUGUGAACACCCACGAGCGACAAUGAAGUUCCUGGUAAUUAUGCUGCUGGCGGCUUCUGCUUGCGCUGCUGAAAUUGAAAAGCGAGAUGCAGAGCCAGACCAUGGUUAUGUCUCCCCCUAUGGGUAUCGCAACUACUACCCCUACUUCCCGGGACCCUAUGGUUACAAGCAAUACCCUCACAAGAGAUCUGCCAAGCCAGACCCAGAGCCAGAGCCUUCCCCCGUCCAUGGACACAAUCCUCAUCGCCACUACUUCAGCCACUUCCACCACCACCAUCACGGAAAGAGGUCUGCCGAUCCUUACGCUUAUGCUGAGCCUUACCCUUAUCCUUACCCUUAUGCAGAACCUUCCAAUCAUUAUGGCUACUAUGGCUAUCCUGGCCCAUACUACAGCUACCCUUCGUAUUAGUAAGGUUAAAAACUCGACUGCUGGUUUUAAUGGAGCACUUAUGUGGAUAUUGUUUUAAUGCUGAUUCAGGAGUGUUUCAUGUAAAGACAAGCGAUUGAAUUAAAAUACCCACAAUA